AUGCUGGCAGGGGCGAUACUAUCUAUGAUCACGAAGGUGGUUUCCCCAGGGCGAGGCUACCCAUUGCACUCCGGGUGUGCUGACCUCUGUGAUUUCUCCAAAUGUGGGAAACUCCACUGCGUAAUUUGUGGUAGUGGGGGACUGCAUUCGCCCUUUCCCCAU